rnacentral:circRNA from 1 species
ACAUUACCAGAAACAUCUUUACCAAAUUAUGCCACAAAUUUGAAAGACAAGAGUUCUUUAGUUUCAUCUCUCUAUAAAGUUAUCCAGGAGCCACAAAGUGAGUUGCUAGAACCUGUCUGUCACCAGCUCUUUGAAUUCUAUCGCAGUGGAGAGGAGCAGUUGCUUCAAUUUACGCUGCAAUUUCUCCCAGAACUAAUUUGGUGCUACCUUGCAGUCUCAGCCAGCAGAAAUGUGCAUAGCAGUGGAUGCAUUGAAGCUCUUCUUCUAGGGGUUUACAAUUUGGAAAUAGUUGACAAACAGGGACAUACCAAAGUAUUGAGUUUUACGAUUCCAUCUUUAUCCAAACCAUCUGUAUACCAUGAACCUUCCAGCAUUGGGUCCAUGGCUCUGACUGAGAGUGCACUAUCCCAGCAUGGUUUGUCAAAAGUGGUAUACAGUGGACCUCAUCCUCAAAGGGAGAUGCUGACAGCACAGAAUCGGUUUGAAGUGUUGACAUUCCUUUUGUUGUGUUACAAUGCUGCCUUAACUUACAUGCCCAGUGUUUCUCUUCAGUCACUGUGUCAAAUUUGUUCAAG